CCGGUCCCACAGUCACUUCCUCUUCCGUGGGGGACACCAGGCUUCCCCUCGCAUUGGAGAGUGGAGUCCCCGAGAGCUCUCCGGGGCAACAUUCAGACAGAGCAGGCUCCAGGCCACCACGAUGCCCGCACCUGCCUCCCCACCCCGCCUGCCUCGGCCAUCCCUGCUGCUGCCUCUGCUGCUGGGCCUCACAGGUGUGGCAGGUGAGCCGGAGCUGCAGGUGAUCCAGCCUGAGAAGUCAAUGGCUGUCGCAGCAGGACAGACAGCCACUCUGCGCUGCACCCUGACCUCCCUGCUCCCCAGUGGGCCGGUUGAGUGGUUCAGGGGAACAGGGCCAGCCCGGCAGUUAAUCUUCGGUUUCAGAGGAGGCUCCUACCCCCGAGUGACAAAUGUUGCAGACACCACAAAGAGAAACAGCACGGACUUUUCCAUCCGCAUCAGUAACAUCACCCCAGCAGAUGCUGGUACCUACUACUGUGUGAAGUUCCAGAAAGGGACCCCUGACGUGGAGUUUAAGUCUGGACCAGGCACCAGGAUGUUUGUACAUGAAGCUAAGCCCUCUCUUCCAGAGGUUUCUGGCCCCUCCAACAGGAUCAGCCCAGGCCAGACAGUGAAUCUCACCUGCACAUCAACUGGCUUCUUUCCCAAAAGCAUACACCUGAAAUGGCUUGAAAAUGAUGUGGAGCUUCCGGCAUUUCAGACCCUGGUCUUCCUGCCUAGAGAUGCUGGAUCCUACACCAUCGUCAGCACGGUGCUGGUGACCCUUGACUUAUCCUCACUCCACUCCCAGCUCACCUGCCAAGUGGCUCACAAUACAUUGCAGAGCCCCCUCAGUAGGCACGUGAACAUCUCCAAAUUCCUCCAAGUUAUACCCACAGUGACUGUUUCAUCCCACCGAGUCCCAAGCCUCCAGUUGGCCAUCCUCACCUGCUACGUGCAAAGGUUCUACCCUGAAGUCAUACAAAUCACCUGGCUGGAGGUGAACAGACGCUUUAAGGCCUGUGAGCCUCCCACCCCCACCAAGAACCCAGAUGGCACAUUCAGCCAAGACAAUCAUAUCCUGGUUCACACCUCAGAGGACAAAGCGCUGUUCACCUGCGAAGUGUGGCAAGAGGCCCAGCCACUGAUCCAGGCCCACGUGCGGCUGAGUGAGUCCAGAGGCCAGCCAGCGUGUUUGGAUGCCAGGGCGUCCAGCUCCCUCUCUGGGACCCUCAUCCUGCUUGGCUGGAAGUUGUUUCCCUUGACUGCACUUUGCAUCAUCUAUGUCCUCAAGAGGAGAUUCCCUUCCAAAUUAGGAAACUGAGGCACAAAGUGCUCAAAUGAUAGUCAUGAUUGGAUAAAGCCAAGAUUUGAGCCCAGAUGGUGCCGCUAAACACACUGACAGAACCUGGAAGAGUCUGGGAUUGCUUUAAUUGGCAAACGAGCCUCUGAGCUGAGCAAUGGGACUGAGCGGCAGGUGCUGCAGCCCGAGGGCCCCAUGCUGGUGGCAGAAGGUAACACACUCCCAUUGUGGUGUUCAGUGGACAGCUCCUGCACUGGUGACAUGAUUAAAUGGGUCAAGGGCUGGUCUGAGCCGGGAGGCCAUUCACAACUUUGAAGGCAUCUCCCACCCCAACGUGACAGCAGUCCGGGCCUCCAGCAGGGAUUUUAGCAUUCUUCUGCAAGGUGCCUCUGGGGAGCGGGCAGGCACCUACUACUGUGUCAAGUUUCAGAGGAAACUCAACAGACAAUACCUGUCUGGACCGGGCACCAAGCUGAGAGUAAAAGAUUUUAUUUAUUUGACAAAGAGAGACACAGCAAGAGAGGGAACACAAGCAGGGGGAGUCCAAGAGGGAGAAGCAGUCUUCCCGCGGAGCAGAGAGCCUGAUGCGGGGCUCCAUCCCAGGACCCUGGGAUCAUGACCUGAGCCGAAGGCAGACGCUUAACGACUGAGCCACCCAGGCGCCCCUAACAAAACUCUUAAAUCACAGUGGCUUAAGCCAGAAGAAAAUCGAUUUCUCUAGUAAUAACAGAGCAUAAGCAGGCCAGGCAACAGGGGAUUCCUUCAUCUUGUUGCUACCGCGUCCACACCCCAGGCCGUUAAGACUAGGGAAGAAGGCAAAAGUGAAGGGGAGUAUAACCCGCCCCUUCAAGGGCACAGCUGGGAACUUGCCCACAUCACCUCUAAUUGGCUGGAAUAUGGUCACAUCGUCACACCCAGCUGUAAGGAAGGCUGGAAAAUGUAGUCUUUAUUCUGGCAGCAGUGUGCCCAGCUGCAAUGUUUCACUAAAAGAACCAGGAGGCGAAUGUCAGUAGAUAACCAGUAACAUCUACCUCGGUGGCAAGGGGAAGCUUCUUCCUUGCUCUGAGUUCAAUUCCCAGCUGAAACAGCACCUUUUUGUACCACCACCUCCACUAGGGAGUAUAAUAGAGAGCAGUAGUUCUCAAGAAGAGGAGGUUUUUUUUCCCCCAGUGUACAUUUGGCAAUGUCUAGAGACACUUUUGGUUGUCACAACUUGGGGGUUGUCACAACUGGCUAUCACCGUCUAGUGAGUAGAGGUCAGGGGGAUGUCACUAAACAUCCUAAAAUGCACAGGGACAGCCCCCACAACAAAGAGUUUUCUGGUCCAAAGCAUCAGUGGUGCUGGGGCUGAGAAGCCCAAUGUAGGGGAAAGUGUGACACGCCUGGCUUGCAAUCCCAAAGCCCCCACUCGCUCCCCGUAUGCCUUUAGUGACUAAUCAGUCGCUUCACCUCUUGGACCCUCAUGGAUAAUAAUGUGGACGCAGAUCAUAACAUGGACUUCUCUGCGUUGUCUAAGAAUUAACUGGAUUCAUUUAUUGAGGGCUUCCUAUAUGCUGUGUGCUCCAGGUACACUCAGUGCCUGUGAGCUCCCUUUUUGCUUUCCACGUGAACACUUACUAGCACCCAUUCUGUGGGGAAGUGUAUUAGCCUGGCUGUUUUUCAUUAUGACAACAGAAAAACAGCUUGCAAAACCUAAGCCAAAGGGGAUGCUAGUGUAGCCUGAGAAUUGCAUAAAUCAUUGAGUGACCAGACAUCAGAAUAAUAGCCGCCUGCCAGAUGAUCCACGUCUUAAUCUCUGGAACCUGUGACUACGACCUCACAUGGCCAAAAAGGGAAUUUGCAGCUGGAGUUAAAGAUCUUGAGACAGGAGUUUAUCCCAGAUUAUCCAGGUGGGCCCUAAAUGCUUUCAUGAGUGUCCUGAUGAGGGAGAGACGGAGGGAGAUUUGACACGGAGGAGAAGACAGCAAUGUGACCACAGAGGCGGAGAUUGGAGUGAUGUGGUCACAAGUUAAAGGAUGCCGGGAGCACCCAGAAGCUAAAAGAAGCCAGAACAGCUUCUCUCCCAGAGCCUCCAGAGGGAGCAGGGCCCACUGAACACCUUGACUCCUGCCCGGUGAUGCUGCUUUCAGACUUCUGGCCUUCAGAACGAUGAGACAAUAAAUUUCUUUGUUCUGAAGCA